rnacentral:rRNA from 1 species
AUACGGAGGAUCCGAGCGUUAUCCGGAUUUAUUGGGUUUAAAGGGUGCGCAGGCGGCCAUUUAAGUCAGCGGUUAAAUCGUGGGGCUCAACCCCAUUCUGCCGUUGAUACUGGGUGGCUUGAUUGCGGUCGAGGUUGGCGGAAUUCGUUGUGUAGCGGUGAAAUGCAUAGAUAGGACGAAGAACUCCGAUCGCGAAGGCAGCUCACCGGGCCGGAACUGACACUGAUGCUCGAAAGUGCGGGUAUCAAACAGGAUUAGAUACCCUGGUAGUCCGCACAGUAAACGAUGAAUACUCGCUGUUUGCGAUACACGGUAAGCGGCCAAGCGAAAGCGUUAAGUAUUCCACCUGGGGAGUACGCCGGCAACGGUGAAACUUAAAUGAAUUGGCGGGG